AGCGGUCUCGGGUAGAUUCACUAUAAAUUUUGAAUAUCCAACUGGCACUUUGGGCGCUCCGUAUACACUGAAGACAGGAAGUGUACCCAAAUUCCUUUUAGUCACGUUUGUAUCUACCUUUAAGCUAAAUGUCUGCAUAAUAUUAGAAAGAUUGAGAGAUCAUGGGCUCUCACCAUUGCCCUGUGCCCUUUGUCUUUAAAUUUUGACAACUUUUAGCUAAAAAGUGACAAUCUAUGCUCUCGGUAGAUAUCGAAGAUGACAUUUUUCUGGAAAAUCCGUCUUAUACGACCUUUAUAUAUACAGAGUCUAUCAUUUAGUUGAAUUUUGUGGACAUUGAAAGACCAGGGGGGUCUCACCCUCGUUUAAGCGGUCUCAGGUUGAUUUCACUAUAAAUUUUGAAUAUCCAACUGGCACUUUAGACGCUCCGUAUACACUGAAGACAAGAAGUGUACCCAAAUUCCUUUUAGUCACGUUUGUAUCUACCUUUUUUUACUAAAUGUCUGCAUAAUAUUAGAAAGAUUGAGAGAUCAGGGGCUCUCACCAUUGCCCUGUGCCCUUUGUCCUAAAAUUUUGACAAUUUUUAGCUUAAAAGUGACAAUCUAUGCUCUCCGUAGAUAUGGAAGAUGACAUUUUUCUGGAAAAUCCGUCUGAUACAACCUUUAUAUAUACAGAGUCUAUGAUUUAUUUGAAUUUUGUGGACAUCAUAUCCAGAAAUCAACGCCACUUUGCUUAUUUGAAUAUUAUACUAAGGAAAUCGGAUACGGGUCACGGAAAUUACAUUAAAAUGAUAGGGAAUUUUGAAAAAAGGUCUGUUUUAAUUUUAAUUUAAGUGAAAGACAGGUUGCAGGGGCAGAACAUGAAUAUACACAACAAUAUACACCAUUUAAACGAAACAUAAUGACUGUUGUUGCAAAAAAUACAGGUUCCUGAGCUAUUUUAAAAAUCGAAGCGAGAGGCUUUUAACAUUGCAGUGUAAAAUACAGGCUAAAAUGGCUGAAACGUCAAAUUUGCAAACUUCGUGUUGAAAAUUGGCUUACAGGUGUCAUUACAAAAACAUGUUGCCGGGGUGAAAUAUGAAACUUGAAUUUCCAAAGAAUAAGCAAGUCCAAACCUUGUAUGUGUAGUCGUUGAACUGUAGGUUCCCACGUAAAACUAAAAUUUCACUAUUUCAAAAAGAAUAAACUCACGAAAGCACGAAAAAUUCUCUAAAUUCGCGUUCAUUGUUUUGAUUUUGACCGCCUGACAACUUUACGGAAAUAUCAAAGUGAUGGUAAAUAAGGACUCUGUGACGGGCAACUUAUAAUAUCCGUGUUUUAAAGAUUUUAAUGAUAUCAAGCCUAUCAAGCCAGUCCAGUUCAAAGUACUAUCACGUGGUACAAUUCUCAUUUACAUAUUAUGAAUAUUAAUUAGCAAAACCACUACUAAUUUCUGGCUACGUUGAAAGACCAGGGGGUCUCACCCUCGUUUAAGCGGUCUCAGGUUGAUUUUCACUAUAAAUUUUGAAUAUCCAACUGGCACUUUAGACGCUCCGUAUACACUGAAGACAGGAAGUGUACCCAAAUUCCUUUUAGUCACGUUUGUAUCUACCUUUUAACUAAAUUUCUGCAUAAUAUUAGAAAGAUUGAGAGAUCAGGGGGCUUUCACCAUUGCCCUGUGCCCUUUGUCCUAAAAUUUUGACAAUUUUUAGCUAAAAAGUGACAAUCUAUGCUCUCCGUAGAUAUCGAAGAUGACAUUUUUCUAGAAAAUCCGUCUGAUACAACCUUUAUAUAUACAGAGUCUAUGAUUUAGUUGAAUUUUGUGGACAUUGAAAGACAAAGGGGUCUCGCCCUCGUUUAAGCGGUCUCAGAUAGAUUUUCACUAUAAAUUUUGAAUAUCCAACUGGCACUUUGGGCGCUCUGUAUACACUGAAGACAGGAAGUGUACCCAAAUUCCUUUUAGUCACGUUUGUAUCUACCUUUUACCUAAAUGUCUGCAUAAUAUUAGAAAGAUUGAGAGAUCAGGGGAUCUCACCAUUGCCCUGUGCCCUUUGUCCUAAAAUUUUAACAAUUUUAGCUAAAAAGUGACAAUUUAUGCUCUCCGUAGAUAUCGAAGAUGACAUUUUUCCUGGAAAAUACGUCUGAAACAAUCUGUAUAUAUACAGAGUCUAUGAUUUAGUUGGACUUUGUGUCCAUUGAAAGACUGAGGGGGUCUCAACCUCAUUUAAGCGGUCUGAGGUAGAUAUUCACUAUGACUUUUGAAUAUCCAACUGGCACUUUGGGCGCUCCGUAUGCACUGAAGACAGGAAGUGUACCUCAAUUCCCUUCAGUCACGUUUGUAUCUAUCUUUUAACUAAAUGUCUGCAUAAUAUUAGAAAGAUUAAGAGAUCAGGGGGCUCUCAUCAUUGCCCUGUGCUCUUUGUCCUAAAAUCUUGACAAUUUUUAGCUAAAAAGUGACAAUCUAUGCUCUCCGUAGAUAUCAAAGAUGACAUUUUUCAGGAAAUUCUGUCUGAUACGACCUUUAUAUAUACAGAGUCUAUGAUUUAGUUGAAAAUUCGCGUUCAUUGUUUUGAUUUUGACCGCCUGACAACUUUACGGAAAUAUCAAAGUGAUGGUAAAUAAGGACUCUGUGACGGGCAACUUAUAAUAUCCGUGUUUUAAAGAUUUUAAUGAUAUCAAGCCUAUCAAGCCAGUCCAGUUCAAAGUACUAUCACGUGGUACAAUUCUCAUUUACAUAUUAUGAAUAUUAAUUAGCAAAACCACUACUAAUUUCUGGCUACGUUGAAAGACCAGGGGGGUCUCACCCUCAUUUAAGCGGUCACAGGUAGAUUUUCACUAUACAUUUUGAAUAUCCAGAUGGCAAUUUGGGCGCUCCGUAUACACUGAAGACAGGAAGUGCACCCAAAUUUCCUUUAGUCACGUUUGUAUCUACCUAUUAACUAAAUGUCUCCAUAAUAUUAGAAAGAUUGAGAGAUCAGGGGGCUUUCACCAUUGCCCUGUGCCCUUUGUCCUAAAAUUUUGACAUUUUUUAGCUAAAAAGUGACAAUCUAUGCUCUCCGUAGAUAUCGAAGAUGACAUUUUUCUAGAAAAUCCGUCUGAUACAACCUUUAUAUAUACAGAGUCUAUGAUUUAGUUGAAUUUUGUGGACAUUGAAAGACAAAGGGGGUCUCGCCCUCGUUUAAGCGGUCUCAGAUAGAUUUUCACUAUAAAUUUUGAAUAUCCAACUGGCACUUUGGGCGCUCCGUAUACACUGAAGACAGGAAGUGUACCCAAAUUCCUUUUAGUCACGUUUGUAUCUACCUUUUACCUAAAUGUCUGCAUAAUAUUAGAAAGAUUGAGAGAUCAGGGGGCUCUCACCAUUGCCCUGUGCCCUUUGUCCUAAAAUUUUAACAAUUUUUAGCUAAAAAGUGACAAUUUAUGCUCUC
rnacentral:lncRNA from 1 species